GAUGAACGCUGGCGGCGUGCCUAAUACAUGCAAGUCGAGCGAACGGACGAGAAGCUUGCUUCUCUGAUGUUAGCGGCGGACGGGUGAGUAACACGUGGAUAACCUACCUAUAAGACUGGGAUAACUUCGGGAAACCGGCGCUAAUACCGGAUAAUAUUUUGAACCGCAUGGUUCAAAAGUGAAAGACGGUCUUGCUGUCUCUUAUAGAUGGAUCCGCGCUGCAUUAGCUAGUUGGUAAGGUAACGGCUUACCAAGGCAACGAUGCAUAGCCGACCUGAGAGGGUGAUCGGCCACACUGGAACUGAGACACGGUCCAGACUCCUACGGGAGGCAGCAGUAGGGAAUCUUCCGCAAUGGGCGAAAGCCUGACGGAGCAACGCCGCGUGAGUGAUGAAGGUCUUCGGAUCGUAAAACUCUGUUAUUAGGGAAGAACAUAUGUGUAAGUAACUGUGCACAUCUUGACGGUACCUAAUCAGAAAGCCACGGCUAACUACGUG
rnacentral:rRNA from 1 species